UCCCUGGUGGCUCAGAGGUUAAAGCAUCUGCCUGCAAUGCAGGAGACCUAGGUUCCAUCCCUGGGUCGGGAA
rnacentral:tRNA from 1 species